ensembl:lncRNA
CCAAAGAAAGGCAAUGCCAAAGAAUGCUCAAACUACCACACAAUUGCGCAAACGCUAGUAAAGUAAUGCUCAAAAUUCUCCAAGCCAGGCUUCAGCAAUACAUGAACCAUGAACUUCCAGAUGUUCAAGCUGGUUUUUUUCUAAAAGGUAGAGGAACCAGAGAUCAAAUUGCCAACAUCUGCUGGAUCAUCGAAAGAGCAAGAGAGUUCCAGAAAAACAUCUAUUUCUGCUCUAUUGACUAUGCCAAAGACUUUGACUGUGUGGAUCACAAUAAACUAUGGAAAAUUCUGAAAGAGAUGGGAAUACCAGACCACCUUACCAGCCUCUUGAGAAACCUGUAUGCAGGUCAGGAAGCAACAGUUAGAACUGGACAUGGAACAACAGACUGGUUCCAAAUAGGAAAAGGAGUCUGUCAAGGCUGUAUAUUCUCACCCUGCUUAUUUAACUUAUAUACAUCAUGAGAAAUGCUGGGCUGGAAGAAGCACAAGCUGGAAUCAAGAUUGCUGGGAGAACUAUCAAUAACCUCAGAUAUGCAGAUGACAGCAUCCUUAUGGCAGAGACCGAGAAGAACUAAAGAACCUCUUGAUGAAAGUGAAAGAGGAGAGUGAAAAAGUUGGCUUAAAGCUCAACAUUCAGAAAACUGAUAUCAUGCCAUUUGGUCCCAUCUGCUGCUGGUGCUGCUGCUAAGUCACUUCAGUCAUGUCCGACUCUGUGCGACCCCAUAGACGGCAGCCCACCAGGCUUCUCUGUCCCCGGGAUUCUCCAGGCAAGAAUACUGGAGUGGGUUGCCAUUUCCUUCUCCAAUGCAUGAAAAUGAAAAGUGAAAGUGAAGUUGCUCAGUGGUGUCUGACUCUUAGUGACCCCGUGGACUGUAGCCUACCAUGCUCCUCCAUCCAUGGGAUUUUCCAGGCAAGAGUACUGGAGUGGGUUGCCAUUUCCUUCUCCUAUCACUUCAUGGCAAAUAGAUGGGGAAACAGUGGAAACAGUGGCUGACUUUAUUGUUUGGGGCUCCAAAGUCACUGCACAUGGUGAUUGCAGCCAUGAAAUUAAAAGACGCUUACUCCUUGGAAGGAAAGUUAUGACCAACCUGGACAGCAUAUUAAAAAGCAGAGACAUUACUUUGCCAGCAAAGGUCCAUCUAGUCACGGCUAUGGUUUUUCCAAUAGUCAUGAAUGACUGUGAGAGUUGGACUAUAAAGAAAGCUGAGCGCCGAAGCAUUGAUGCUUUUGAACUGUGGUGUUGGAGAAGCCUCUUGAGAGUCCCUUAGACUGCAAGGAGAUCCAAUCAGUCCAUCCUAAAGGAGAUCAGUUCUGGGUGUUCAUUGGUAGGACUGAUGUUGAAGCUGAAACUCCAAUACUUUGGCCACUUGAUGUGAAGAGCUGACUCAUUGGAAAAGACCCUGAUGCUGGGAAAGAUUGGGGGCAGGAGGAGAAGGGGAUGACAGACGAUGAGAUGGUUGGUUGGCAUCACCGACUCAAUGGACAUGAGUUUGGGUAAACUCCGGGAGUUGGUGAUGGACAGGGAGGCCUGGUGUGCUGCAGUUCAUGGGGUUGCAAAGAGUUGGACAGGACUGAGUGACGGAACUGAACUGAACUGAAAGUGUCAGAAUAUGUAAAAAUGUUG